rnacentral:rRNA from 1 species
GACGAACCGUGCGAACGUUGUUCGGAAUCACUGGGCUUAAAGGGCGCGUAGGCGGGCUGUUGCGUCUGGGGUGAAAUCCUCCGGCUCAACCGGGGAAGGGCCUCGGGUACGGACGGCCUCGAGGGGGGUAGGGGCGUGCGGAACUGUGGGUGGAGCGGUGAAAUGCGUUGAUAUCCGCAGGAACUCCGGUGGCGAAGGCGGCACGCUGGACCGUCACUGACGCUGAGGCGCGAAAGCCAGGGGAGCAAACAGG